rnacentral:lncRNA from 1 species
GGAGAAGUAAUGAUUUAGGAUUUGAAGCCCAAACUAUUAAGCCUGUCCUAAUCUAGUUGGGUUUUCAACCUAUUUUUCCUCUCACCUGUCCUAUUUCUAUGUUUUCUGGCCCUUUGGCUCGAGUUUUCACUUUACCUGUAUUAAAUACAACUUUGGCUUCGAGGCCCAAAUGAAUGAAAAAUGAAUAAACAAAAUAAAAUAAAUAAUAAAUAAUAAAAAAACAACAACACUAAUUAAACAAAAUGAAAUAAUAAAUGAGACUUUUGUCACUUAGCCGCUUCAAAUACGGGACUUUAACCCGUUCCUUUUCUUUCGACUCUUUGUAUUUGCGCGCUAUUUAUCCGGCUUUGGGCUCUUUUUCUGGAUUGACCCAACAAGAUGGGCCUCACUGGCCCAUGAUGAAUGUGCAAGAGGGAGAGAGUUCAUGUAGGACUCAGUCGAAAGUAGGAGAGAUUAAUGUGCAGGCCCGAAGCGCAGUACACCAUACAGAUAUCCAACACAACAAAUCAAUAACAAAAGACAUGGAAUUAUUGUAAUUUUAAACAACAUAGCAAAUAGUAUGCAAAAGUAUAGAAAGUAAAAGAAACGCAAUUAUGGCUAGCACCAAUAUAUAAAUGAAACAUUUAAGACUACAUUUGUAAGAAUACUCAUAAACAGGAAUAAGCAAAUAAGGAGACGUACAAUAGAAUUGGGAAUUUAAAAUAAAUCUCUUAAGCGACCUAUUCAUAACACUAGUUGGGGAAAGAGCCAUUCUUUUCAGAGAGAUAAACCAGAGCCCCUCCCUGUACAAUUUCUUCAAAAAGGAUACAACUCCUAAACAUACCAUACCAAAAAUCGGAUAGCUUGGAACAGCGAACAACGAAAUACAAUAAUGACUUACUUAAGAAAGAGUGAAUGAAACUUGACAUAAGAGUUGUUCAAACAAGCCAAGACUCAAUAAGUUUGGAAGUUGAAGAAUAAGCAUAUUUGCACUACAGUGAGCAAGUAAGUAGCAGACCCCUGAGCAGCUAAGAAGGUCUUAAUAAUUAUCAAUCGAAUCGAAACAUGAAACUUUAAUCGCAGAAGACAGAUAAAAAAAAUUUUUGAACAGCCUGAAACUUCAAAAAAAACAUGAAACUUUAAACACGAAACCAACUUCAGUAGGAUACUAGCGAUCCGAAACAGAUCGAAGAACCUAAGACCUUAGCUAACAAACCCGCGUUAACAAGAUACUAGUUAUUCCAAACAACAAUCAGAAGCACGAACUUCACAAAAAUGUAUGGUCCUUAAGACCUCAACAACAAACAAAGCCAGCAACCAUGAUUAUACACAACAUAGCUAUACGGCUAAAAUGCUACAGCAGCAUCGCUUAGAAGAAUAAAGAAAAAGAAGAACGCAUUUUGAAACCAAAAGAGAUGAAGGGUUACCUGCUUCGGGGCAGCAAAACAGGACUCCCAAGCUAAUAUUAGACUCCAACACCACCGAAAAUCGGACCCUCUAGAAUGAUGAGUAAUUGACAACUCGAAAUAAACUUAUUGGAAAAUCAAAGUUUUACUGCGUUUUCUUCUUCCCCUCCCAGACCCUAAAGAAACAUGUUUCCAACCUAGAUUUAAACAGUAACCCCUUUCCCAAAGAAAGAUCUCCCCAAGCUUCUAACUCCAGAAACUUUUAUUCAAAUUUUCGAACCGUCGCCUCUUCGAGAAAAGAACCCCCAGAAAACCUCUCCAAAUCCCUUACUUUGAAUCAAAAUCGACCCAAACCCUAAAUUUCUCCACUCUUAGAACCUUAGAGCUCCCAGAAAAAUCCUCCUCUUCAGACCCUAAAGAGAGCUAUUUAUAGAAGGGGGGGUUGAGGGUUCGUUUUGAAUCCUCACAAAUCGCACCCCUAUUGUUCUUCUUGAACGGAUUUUCAACAGAUGGCCAACAACCAUUGGGGCAAAAUGAACGAAUGAAAAUUUGCCGAACAGGUAUGAAUCCGAAAAUCACGGAAUUCGGACGUUGGGGGUAACACCUCACUCUCUUUCUAGAAGAUUUCGUACCAAAAUCAUGUGGGAAAGCACGCGACUGUGAAGAGGAAGCAGAAAACGGGUUGAGAUAAGGGGAAUCGGGGGGGAAAUAGGUUGGGGUUUUGCAUGGUUGUUUUCGCAUUGCUGUUGGUGUAGCUUGUACGCGGUUUUUGUCGUGGCUGUUGUUUGUUUUUGGUGAGCUAUAAGCAGCUUUUGCUUAUUGAAGAAGAAAGGAUUAAAUGGUGUGGGCCGGGUAGGUUUUGUAGAUGUUUGUGCUGUUGAAAUUCGGGGCUAAUUUGGCAAAGUCAAAAGGAAAUUGGGCUUGGGCUUGUUAAUUUGAAGAGUGGCUUGGCAAUUUAAAAACUGAAAUUGAGGUUAUUAUAACACACCAAUUUGGCCUGAAAAUGCCCCGUUUAUGCCGUUUUACCCAUUUGACUACCCAAAAUAUCCUUGAAUAAAUAAAAAAAACCACACUGCGACGAUCCCCAACCUCUCUGGCAUACCCCGGUUGAUUUUUGGCCCACGUCACCCCCAAACCCUAGGCUACCCCCGAAGUCGUAGGCUUUAGCUUGAAUACACCCGUUUGCAUCGUUUGACCACCCAAAUGGCCUCGAAUAAAUAAACGAACCCUGGCAUCCUCAGUCAAUUCUUCACCCACGACACCUAUUUUGCGGAGAAAUUUUGACUUUUUGAGAAGAGUUACCACUUAAUUUUAAAAAAAAAUUAAGAAACCUGUAAAGAGUUACUUCAAACGAUCUAAAACCAAAAAAUCAUUUAAGUUAAGAGAUUCUGAAUAAGCGGUUCUUAUUAACGUUUUAGGAAGGUGUUAGGCACCUAAAAUGUCUUCGAUUAACUUCUGAAAUUUGAUUCAUUGAAAAAUGGUUGGUUUGCAAAAAAUUAAGUUUUAGCAAAUUCAUUAGGGGAUUUAACUAGGUUCGUAAAAGGCAUGCAAAACAAAUAAUCAAAAAGAAAGGGGAAGAGAGGAGAAGUAAUGAUUUAGGAUUUGAAGCCCAAACUAUUAAGCCUGUCCUAAUCUAGUUGGGUUUUCAACCUAUUUUUCCUCUCACCUGUCCUAUUUCUAUGUUUUCUGGCCCUUUGGCUCGAGUUUUCACUUUACCUGUAUUAAAUACAACUUUGGCUUCGAGGCCCAAAUGAAUGAAAAAUGAAUAAACAAAAUAAAAUAAAUAAUAAAUAAUAAAAAAACAACAACACUAAUUAAACAAAAUGAAAUAAUAAAUGAGACUUUUGUCACUUAGCCGCUUCAAAUACGGGACUUUAACCCGUUCCUUUUCUUUCGACUCUUUGUAUUUGCGCGCUAUUUAUCCGGCUUUGGGCUCUUUUUCUGGAUUGACCCAACAAGAUGGGCCUCACUGGCCCAUGAUGAAUGUGCAAGAGGGAGAGAGUUCAUGUAGGACUCAGUCGAAAGUAGGAGAGAUUAAUGUGCAGGCCCGAAGCGCAGUACACCAUACAGAUAUCCAACACAACAAAUCAAUAACAAAAGACAUGGAAUUAUUGUAAUUUUAAACAACAUAGCAAAUAGUAUGCAAAAGUAUAGAAAGUAAAAGAAACGCAAUUAUGGCUAGCACCAAUAUAUAAAUGAAACAUUUAAGACUACAUUUGUAAGAAUACUCAUAAACAGGAAUAAGCAAAUAAGGAGACGUACAAUAGAAUUGGGAAUUUAAAAUAAAUCUCUUAAGCGAC